CUGGGUAGUAAAAAAAGCCUCCGAGAUUUCUCUUUUAGCACUGACCUUCUGAGCUAUCUAAUGAUGAAGAUAGGAAGAGGCUGCAACCAGACAGUGGAAAAAAAAACCCCUUUUGCUAGCAGGGAAAUGUGUGAGUAAUAUACACACUGUUGGACGGUGGCCAAAUCACUCUAGUAACGGCUGUUAGUUCCCCUUACGAAGAAAAUGAUCAAAUGAGAAAGAGGAGCUGCAGUCGGGUGUCAGAAAUGCUGAGUCGCAACGGGAGAGUGCCGCAUCCGAUGGAAAUUUACCCAGGAGCCAGCGACCUUCACACGCUGGGGACGAGGACUGAGGGCUUGUAGGGAAAUCCUGCCCUCGCUCACCCACCGCUGUACUACCUCCACGUCACCACCCAGGCAGAACACACCCUGGAAAAGCAGACCAGGAGACGAGCUCCAAGACAGAGUGAGCUGCCAGGACAGGCUCUGUGGCGUGAAACAGGGUACUGCUCUCCAUAGUGUGCAAGGAUGUCUGGCCCCACAGCACUGCCCAGUCCUCAGGAUUACUUGCCUCAGGUAAUUAAUUGCUGCUCAUCUGGCUCCUCCCCUGCUGCUUUGGACACACGCACUUGAAAUGAGACAGCUGGGUCCAGUUGACCCAUAUCUGGGGCUUCCACAACAGGAGGCAGCAGGGACCAAAGGUGACUUCAUAACUCCCUGCUUUUAGGGCCGUGCCUUGGAUCGACAGAGCUUCCCCAGUGGCUACAUGCCCUGUAGCCAUUUUCACAUGAUUUCAGGCCCAUAUUGGAAACAGAAUGCAGGAAUACUCUGGCUUCACCCUUGUCAGAGGGUCUCAGGUUUGGGAUAUGACCAGAACAUCUCAUCCUCUCUCCCACAUACCAGGGCAUAAUCAAUGGCUUUCCCUGCAAGUUCUCAGGCUCUCCGUGAAGGACAAUGAGAAGUGGGGGAGGAUAAGCAAUAAUGCCAGAGGACAAGGGAUACAAGACAGUGCCCUGACUUCCAAAGACUUGCUCCUGAUUCACACUGCUACAGCCAAGAGGAGAAGGACUCCACAUUAUUGUUCCCAGGAAUGAAUCCUGAAGGUCUCUUGAUCUGUGAAGCAGCUACAGGGAAAUUCGUCGUAGAAACAGUCCCAUUACUGCCUUUUGUCCGCAUGACUCAUAUUGAUCCUGUUAACUGCGACUAACGUAUUUCCUAAGAUAUACUUUCUUAGCUUUAGGCCAAAACUCUCUGGUCCUGCCUCCUUCUUAUGCACAAGUUUUCCUCUAAUUCCUAUUGAUGCUACCCUGCCUGGCACAGAGUGAACCAUCUCCCUUCAUUCCCACAAGCAAGUGCCAUGCAGCCCUGUGCAGCAGGUAUCAAGAACCUGCUGGUCACACUGCAGUGAGAAACUCAGUCCAGAGGCCCUCAGCUGAGCAGCAGCCAUAGCACAGCUCCAAAGCUAGCUUGUGUAUGUGGUUCCUUUCUGGCCUCUCUUUUCCCCUGGAGGAAGAGGAAAACCUUGGUUUAAAUAUAGCUAGAGUUACCAUGGCUGCCUUGCACAGAAAUCAAUGGAAGGGCAUGAAAUCUAGUCCAGUCCCUGUCAUGGCACUUUUCAGGUUGGAAGUUGCCUUUACCAUUUCCUCCCAUCCUCAGGGCCAGUCCAGCUACCCCCAUUGUCUGCCAAGCACAGCAGCAAGAUUCUUGCCCAGCUGCAAGAAUUUCACCCCUGGACUGGUUUAGAUUUGCACACACACAAGUGCUACUGAUGCACUCAUGGCCUGUCUUCCUCUGUCCUCAUCUUCAAAUGUCAGUCCCAUGGAGGUUCCAGGGCUGACUCACUCCAAGCACAAACUCUGGCCUGCCCAUGACCUGCAUGUCUGAGCAAUUCUCCUUGGCCAGCUUUAUUUCAGACCUUGGCUGCAGGCAGGAAUGAUGUGUCCAGGAAUAAAGCUCAACUCCUUUGUGAUUGACA
rnacentral:lncRNA from 1 species